CCCCUUAGUGUAAUAUUGUUUCUUUAAAAAAAAUGGCAAGCCCUUAGGGCAACCCGUACAAGAAGAGCCAAGCAGAGAGUAUGCCUAGCACGAGAACGAACUGGUCUAGCAAUAGCAUAAGGGGAAAAGCUAGAAAUGAGUUAACACUCUCAUUCUUGUCAAUGUUUGGAAGUGAAAUGCAUCCUAAAAUUUUGAAAAUUCGGAAUUAUAUUGAGGAUGUAAGCUUUAACUAUUCAUAAGUACUGAAAUAUAUGUGACCCAAUCACCAAAGAAACAUAUGAGUUGUUCCAUGAAAAUUGACAGCAAGUGAGCACUAGUAAUAUAAUGAGUAGGUUCUUUGGGCUUUUGGUUCGAGUUUUCCUAUAUCUUGGCUAAUUUUAAUCUUUCAGAUUUUUUUAUCAUAUCCCAAACUGAAUAUUUGAAAUCUGAUAAUUCUAAAAAAUUUAGAGAAAAAAAAUACAUACAUACUCCAAAAAAAUUGAGAUUAGCUCUCAAAUAAUCCUAAAUAUAACUUGAAACCCAAAUGCCUUGAACCAAGAACAAUAUUGCUUUUUCAAGUGGUGAAUUACAUUGAUGGUUAGUGUGAAGACAAAAAUCAAUCACAUUAAAUAGGAGAAUGACACAUGGACUAUUAGUUGCAUAUGGCGCAUUUACCCUUGAUGUUGUGAGUUGGGCUAGGCACGGGCCGGGCAGGGCCCAAUUUUGAAGGGACCAGAUCGGACCCGGGUUUAAAAGAAUCAGGCUAGG
rnacentral:lncRNA from 1 species